UCUGUCAAAGUUAUUAUUAUAGAGCUUAUAUCAUUUUCUUUUUGUCCAGGACGCCAUAAUGUCUAAAAUUCUAUCUGCAUCUCAGCCUGAAGAUGGGUCCGGUGAGCCUCCUAAAGUUGAUUUCUCACAAAUAUAUUUAGAGGAAGUCGGUGUUAAGAAGACGCGCAUUUAUGGUCUUGGUUCUCAAGCUCCUUUCUAUGGGNNNN
rnacentral:lncRNA from 1 species